rnacentral:pre_miRNA from 1 species
AUAAUACUUCCUCCGUUCCGAAAUUAUUGUCUUAAAUUUGUUUAGAUAUGAAUGUAUCUAGUCAUGUUUUAGUAUUUAGAUAUAUACAUUUCUAAAUAAAUUUAAAAUAAAAAUUUUGAAACGGAGGGAGUACUAU